rnacentral:lncRNA from 1 species
AACUCUGCCCUUAAUUUCUCAUCACUACUGAAAUGUAUAAUUUAAACUCUCAGCCAACAUGUGAAACAAAACAUAUCAAAGCUAGUCAGUGCUAGAAAAAUAAUCAAAUCACUUUUAAGUAAAAUGCAGUAGUUUUAUUUGAAUCAUGAAAAAAAUAUACUUGUUUCCCUUCGAUUAGAAAUCUUGAAAAGAGUAUCCCAUGAAUUUUGACCUUUUAUAGAAG